rnacentral:rRNA from 1 species
UACAGAGGGUGCAAGCGUUAAUCGGAAUUACUGGGCGUAAAGCGUGCGCAGGCGGUUUGCUAAGACAGGUGUGAAAUCCCCGGGCUUAACCUGGGAACUGCGCUUGUAACUGGCAAGCUAGAGUGUGGCAGAGGGGGGUGGAAUUCCACGUGUAGCAGUGAAAUGCGUAGAGAUGUGGAGGAACACCGAUGGCGAAGGCAGCCCCCUGGGCUGACACCUGACGCUCAUGCACGAAAGCGUGGGGAGCAAACAGG